rnacentral:rRNA from 1 species
AGUGAACGCUGGCGGUAGGCCUAACACAUGCAAGUCGAACGGCAGCACAGUAAGAGCUUGCUCUUACGGGAGGCGAGUGGCGGACGGGUGAGGAAUACAUCGGAAUCUACUUUUUCGUGGGGGAUAACGUAGGGAAACUUACGCUAAUACCGCAUACGACCUACGGGUGAAAGCAGGGGAUCUUCGGACCUUGCGCGAAUGAAUGAGCCGAUGUCGGAUUAGCUAGUUGGCGGGGUAAAGGCCCACCAAGGCGACGAUCCGCAGCUGGCCUGAGAGGAUGAUCAGCCACACUGGAACUGAGACACGGUCCAGACUCCUACGGGAGGCAGCAGUGGGGAAUAUUGGACAAUGGGCGCAAGCCUGAUCCAGCCAUACCGCGUGGGUGAAGAAGGCCUUCGGGUUGUAAAGCCCUUUUGUUGGGAAAGAAAAGCAGCAGGUUAAUACCCCGCUGUUCUGACGGUACCCAAAGAAUAAGCACCGGCUAACUUCGUG